AACGUAGGGCCCGAGCGUUGUCCGGAAUCACUGGGUGUAAAGGGUGCGUAGGCGGGCGUGCUCGUCUGGGGUGAAAGGCUCCGGCUCAACCGGAGACAUGCCCUGGGUACGGCACGUCUUGGGGGCGGGAGAGGGCGAUGGAAUUCCUGGUGUAGCGGUGAAAUGCGUAGAUAUCAGGAGGAACACCGGUGGCGAAGGCGGGCGCCGGGCCCGCAACCGACGCUGAGGCACGAAAGCGUCGGGAGCAAACGGG
rnacentral:rRNA from 1 species